CCAGAGACGUGCACCAAGAACUUGAAGUGAGAGCAGCCAGCGCCCCCCUGGGGUAACUUUUGUCAAAGAAAAACUAGAGCUGGACGGUAGUUACAGUGGUCAGACCAGACUUUAUUCAGGACUAUUUCAACAGGAAAGAGACCUGAGUACAGAACCAGGCUCGACUCCGAACACAGUGUGGACAAGCGGGGAUUUACAGCCAAGGAGCAGGACGCGGGCCGGCGGUGUUCAGUGCGGAUGCUCAGCUGCCUUCCGGGGGCCGCGCUCAGUGUACCCGGCAUGUCCACGUCAUUUUUGUACUAAGACAGGAUCGGAUGGUCCGCCCCGGUUUUGUGCGAUCCCUUUGCAGCAGGAAGCCUUCUGAAGUUUGCACAAGCCACUACACCCAUCGUGGGAGGAAGGAGCCGUGGAAGAGGCAGGGACCUGCCGUGACCAUGAGCCUAGGCCCUGCUCCUUCUUCUGUGAGCCGGACAGUCGCUGGGCCCUGCCCUGGAACCGUCCAUCCCCAGGGAGGAAGAACACGAGUCUCCCCUGGGAGUUAUUUGGAGGAGCCCCAGGGAGCUGGAAUCCUAGUGGUGACCAGCAUCCCCCCAAGUGCAGCUGGGGUCAGGGCGCCAGGCCACGGCGGAGCAGGAGGGGGACGGACCAGGUCCCAGGAGGAAGAAGAACACAGGCCACGGAUUUCGUUUUUUUUUUCUUUCUUUACUAUUUUUCUCUUUUUAAUUACUGCCGGUCUUCCAGUGUUAAUAAGAGCACUGACUUAGCUCAUGUGCAGAAUCGUCAGACUGACACCAUUGGGAUCUCAUCGCCGGUAUGUACAUACGGACCGAGUUUCGUUCUUACCGGAACAGUGAAACACCGCACCAAACUAACUCAACCGUUUCUACUUCACUUCUGGAUUCCACCCAGACUCUGUAUGGAAGCUGGCGGCUCCCUCAACGUGCUCACCCUGAAUCUCACUGCACUCUCCCCCACACGGUGUGGGUCCCCAAGAACUCUGCACACGUGGGGCAUCUCAAACGCUUUACGAGGAUGGGGCUGCAAGGAAUGGUGGUGGAUGUGCAUAUGGCGGAUCUCCUGGGCUCACGGGCACGCUCCACCCUCUCGUUGGACUUCACUUAGAAAACACAAGUUCAAAGAUGAAAGUACGCAGCAGAGCAUUAAAUCUGGCACAGGUCACACGCCCAUGAAGUCAGCCCUGCCUCUGGACAACAGCCAGCAAGGAAGUGAACCUGCCGAUGAACUUGGAAGUGGAUCCCCCCCAGCCGGGCCCUGAGAUGCUCACUGGCCCAGCCAAUACCUCCAUUUUACAGACCCAGCUAAGCCAUGCCCAGAUUCCCGACCCACAGAAAGUGUGAGAUAAUAAAGUGUGUUGUUUUAAGC
rnacentral:lncRNA from 1 species